rnacentral:lncRNA from 1 species
GUGGGUACACGCCAGUCCACAGUGGUCCUGAUCAAAGUGAGAACAGACAGCAGGGAACAUCACCCUCUUCAGAUUGGAGUCAGUGGGAACAGACCUAAGAUGUUGGGGAAGAACACUUGGAAGACCUCAGCUUUCUCCUGGGUUGAGCAGAUGUGGGCCCCUCUCUGGAGUCGUUCGAUGAGGCCAGGGUGAUGGUGUUCUCAGCGUUCCUGUGCGCGGCGAACCAGCAGUAACACUUUGCACCCACUCUGGACGGGCCCGGUCUCCGUGCCAGGGGGCACCCGGCAGUCUCCUAUCAACAUCCAGUGGAGGGACAGCGUCUAUGACCCCUGGCUGAAGCCACUCAGGGUCUCCUAUGA